rnacentral:rRNA from 1 species
AUUGAACGCUGGCGGCAGGCCUAACACAUGCAAGUCGAGCGGAUGAAGGGUGCUUGCUCCUGGAUUCAGCGGCGGACUGGCGAGUAAUGCCUAGGAAUCUGCCUGGUAGUUUUGUAUUACGUCCUGACACGGGCGCUCAUACCGCAUACGUCCUGACGGAGAAAGUGUGGGAUCUUCGGACCUCCCGCUCUCAGAUGAGCCUAUGUCGGAAUGUCGGAUUAGUUAGUUAACGGCGUAAAAGCCCACCAAGGCGACGAUCCGUAGCUGGUCUGAGAGGAUGAUCAGUCACACUGGAACUGAGACACGGUCCAGACUCCUACGGGAGGCAGCAGUGGGGAAUAUUGGACAAUGGGCGAAAGCCUGAUCCAGCCAUGCCGCGUGUGUGAAGAAGGUCUUCGGAUUGUAAAGCACUUUAGGUUGGGAGGAAGAGCAGUAAGUUAAUACCUUGCUGUUUUGACGGUACCAAAAGAAUAAGCACCGGCUAACUUCGUG